GGGCCCGUGGUCCAGUGGUCAGGAUGCCCGCCUUACGCCCCCGAGGUCGGGGGUUCGAGUCCCCCCGGGCCCACCA
rnacentral:tRNA from 1 species